rnacentral:rRNA from 1 species
UACGUAGGGACCAAGCGUUGUUCGGAUUUACUGGGCGUAAAGCGCUCGUAGGCGGCUCAGUAAGUCGGGUGUGAAACCUCCAGGCUCAACCUGGAGACGCCACCCGAUACUGCUGUGGCUUGAGUCCGGUAGGGGAGCGUGGAAUUCCUGGUGUGAGCGGUGGAAAUGCGCAGAUAUCAGGAGGAACACCGGUGGCGAAGGCGCCACUCUGGGCCGAAACUGACGCUGAGGAGCGAAAGCGUGGGUAGCAAACAGG